rnacentral:rRNA from 1 species
UACGUAGGCAGCAAGCGUUGUUCGGAGUUACUGGGCGUAAAGGGUGUGUAGGCGGUUGUUUAAGUUUGGUGUGAAAUCUCCCGGCUCAACUGGGAGGGUGCGCCGAAUACUGAAUGACUUCGAGUGCGGGAGAGGAGAGUGGAAUUCCUGGUGUAGCGGUGAAAUGCGUAGAUAUUGGGAGGAACACCAGUGGCGAAGGCGGCUCACUGGACCGGAACUGACGCUGAGGCGCGAAAGCGUGGGGAGCAAACAGG